AAAGGAAUUGACGGGGACCCGCACAAGCGGUGGAUCAUGUUCUUUAAUUCGAUGGUAAACGAUAAACCUUACCAGGGCUUGACAUCUGGAGAAUUCCGGUGAAAGCUGGAAGUGCCUUCGGGAACUUCAAGACAGGUGAUGCAUGGCCGUCGUCAGCUCGUGUCGUGAGAUGUUAGGUUAAGUCCUUCAACGAGCGCAACCCUUGUGAACAGUUGUAUUUUUCUGUUCAAACUGCUUCGGUAACGGAGAGGAAGGAGGGGACGAUGUCAGGUCAGUAUUUCCCUUACGCCCUGGGCUAGAAACGUGAUACAAUGGCAGGUACAAUGCGAGGCGAAGCCGCGAGGUGAAGCAAAUCGCAUCAAAGCUUGUCCCAGUUCGGAUUGCAGUCUGAAACUCGACUGCAUGAAGUCGGAAUCGCUAGUAAUCGCAGAUCAUCAUGCUGCGGUGAAUACGUUCCCGGGUCUUGUACACACCGCCCGU
rnacentral:rRNA from 1 species